CGCCUAAAGAAGUAUAACUUCAAAAAUUUCCAUUCGGUUCUUUUCAAGUGUGUAAUGCGUGUGUGCUGUGGCUGUAAUUGGCCCUGGCUCAGCAUUAUGCGGAGGAGCAGAAAGUUCCACGGCGCUGGUUAUUUGGUCGCAGAACCUUCCAGACACUCUCUGUAGGCCUGACACAUGUCCUGUAGGCCAUUUCGGGGUAACAGUUUUGAAUACCAUCGCACUUUUUUGACGAUACUAAUUAUUUAGGAGUCUCGGAGGACCUUCAUUGGAACACCUCCAAACGCGUUUCCGGAGCAAAACUCACUUGGAGGUGUUCCAAUGAAGGUCCCCCGGACACUCCUAGAUAAUUAGUAUCGUCAAAAAAGUGCGGUGGUAUUUAACACCCAACCC